rnacentral:rRNA from 1 species
GAUCAUGGUUCAGGACGAACGCUGGCGGCGCGCCUAACACAUGCAAGUCGAACGAGAGAGAAGGAGCUUGCUUCUUCGAUCGAGUGGCGAACGGGUGAGUAACGCGUGAGGAACCUGCCUCAAAGAGGGGGACAACAGUUGGAAACGACUGCUAAUACCGCAUAAGCCCACGGGUCGGCAUCGACCUGAGGGAAAAGGAGCAAUCCGCUUUGAGAUGGCCUCGCGUCCGAUUAGCUAGUUGGUG